rnacentral:lncRNA from 1 species
CAGGAGGCCAAGGGUACUGGAGGCACAGACGGGGGCCCGUGGGGGCAGGACAGCAGCCUCCCCGAGGCACAUGGCUGAGUGCUGAGCUGGGAAGGCACCAUCGUAAUGCCCUGGAGGGCCAGACUUGAAAUGAGAACUCUUACAAAACCACACCAGAGCACAGCCCACCUCCCUUCUCUUCCCUGACUGUGCCCCCCAGCAGAGGACCCUGGCCCACAGCCAAGCCACAUCCAUGCCACUCCUGCGAACAGCCACUUCCAGUGUUCACAGCCCCUAGGAUCCCUUUACAGUUUCUGAGCACAAGACUCCAACUUGCCCGCGUGAUUUCACUCUCUACAGCCAGCGGCCGCACCUUUUGUCAGAGGCCUGCCCGGGCUGCUGGAAACUGCUUUGGCUGUGAGUGCUGAGGGCUGGCAGUGCCUUGAACCAAUGACUGACAGGUAAGGGGAUAUAAACAUUCCAACUCCCUUGCCCUGACUGGGACAACUCCAAGGUGUGGCGCACACUAUCCUCAGAUCCCAUAGGGCUGAGGCAAACAGCCAUCCACAGGACACCCUCCAAUGUCCAACCAUUGCUUGGCUUCCUGCCUUUCCCUGUCCCUCUCCCCAGUCCCCUUACCAGAUUUUCCUGGGAAUGCAUCCCCAAAACAUCCCUUUCAUGCAAAUCUUUGUCUCAGGUUCUGCUCAGGAAGAACCCAAACUAAGAGAGUUGCCAACAAAAUUUGUAUAAAAAUCCAGAUUUCCAUUUCUCAUAAUGCUAUAGAUCUAGCAACCCUGGGCCCAUUCCCACUUGACAAAAAUUAGCUGGAGCUGCAUAGAGGCCACCCAAUAUAACGGAGAUGUUCUCUAGUUCUUCUCAUCCACCACACUGUCUACUGUCCCCCAACUGGCCCUUUUCACCCAUCCCUAUUCCCUGCCUGUCCCCAACAAGUUUAUGGGUUUACAAACCCUACAACAUAACGCAGUGGUUAAUAAUGUGGGCUCUAGAGGUGAUCGGCUUAAGUUCACAUUCCAGGUUCACAAAUUACUAAUCAUGCAACCUUGUAUAAGUCACUUAAUAUUUCUGUCUGUUUCUUCAGGUGAAAAAUGAGUAUAUACAUGUACCUAUAUGGUUCCCUCUAUAGCUGUUACACACUUCAUUGAGAUACUGCAUGUAAAGUAUCCAGCACAUGAUAAGAGGUCAAGAACUUACUAGUAUUUGUCCUCUUGGAGCAGGUGUGCCUGCCACAAUCUGACAGCCUAUGUUCAAUUAUCUGAGGUUCCCUGCCAGUUCCUCACUCCCUCUGUGGGGAGUGGCCUUUCCCCCAAGAGGUUUGCACUGACC